rnacentral:rRNA from 1 species
CAGCCGCCACGGUAAUACGUAGGGUGCAAGCGUUAAUCGGAAUUACUGGGCGUAAAGCGUGCGCAGGCGGUUUUGUAAGACAGAGGUGAAAUCCCCGGGCUCAACCUGGGAACUGCCUUUGUGACUGCAAGGCUAGAGUACGGCAGAGGGGGAUGGAAUUCCGCGUGUAGCAGUGAAAUGCGUAGAUAUGCGGAGGAACACCGAUGGCGAAGGCAAUCCCCUGGGCCUGUACUGACGCUCAUGCACGAAAGCGUGGGGAGCAAACAGGAUUAGAGACCCCAGUAGUCCCUGUCUCUUAUAC